AGCAAUUGAAUUGACAUUAGAAGCUUUCAAGGAGUUAUCUUCAUCCACUUCUCAAUGGACCAAUUUAGAGAAGAUUAAGGUCAACUUACCUGUGUUAGCUCCUUUAUAUUUCUUGGAAACAUAAUUUUCAUUUAAUGAAGAAUCCC